rnacentral:rRNA from 1 species
CCUUACCAGGGUUUGACAUAUAGCAGUCGCUCGUAGAGAUACGGCUUCCCUUCGGGGCCUGUUAUACAGGUGCUGCACGGCUGUCGUCAGUUCGUGCUGUGAAGUGUUGGGUUAAAUCCCGCAACGAGCGCAACCCCUACUGUCUGCUACCAUCAGUAAGUUGGGGACCUCAGACGGUACUGCCGGUGACAAACCGGAGGAAGGUGGGGAUGACGUCAAGUCAUCAUGGCCCUUAUGUCAUGGGCUACACACGUGCUACAAUGGCCGCUACAGAGCGCAGCAAACCCGCGAGGUGGAGCAAAUCACAGAAAGCCGCUCUCAGUACCAGAUUGGAGUCUGUCACUCGACUCCGUGAAAGCUGGAAUCGCUAGUAAUCGCAUAUCAGCAUGCUGCGGUGAAUACUGUUCCCGGGCCUUGUACUACACCGCCCGUCCACCACAUGAGUUGUGGUACCCGAAGUCGCUCGUCUAACCGCCAAUGGAGGACGAUGCCUAACGUAUGCCUGUCACAUGGGGUGAAGUCGUAGCUAG